UUUUUUUUCAAUGUUUUAGGUAUGAUGUUUGAUGUUAUUGAUUAGAGAUGUUUUUGCAAGAAUCUUCAAAGCUAAUUUACUCUCAGCACUUAUUGAUCUAGAUGGACAUGAAGAUAGGUAUUAAGUUGUUCUGGGAGUUCCAAGCGUUGUGGUAUGACCAUCUCAAACUUAAUGUUCGGGUGAUCUAGAGAUGAUGUAUCUUAUUUCUGUCGUUUUCGAAUGAUUUGGAAAUGAUUUUUUUUAUGGUGUAAUGUUGGGAGAUAUAAUAGAAAUUUUGUGAGACUUCGCAGGAAAGUUUUUCUUUAACAAACGAUCCGUUUUCUAGAAGACGAUUUCAUUUUUUUGUCGUUUAGCGUUGGGAGAUUCAGUACAAAUUUUUUGAGACUUUGUCGAAAAGUUUUUCCUCACCAAACAAUUCGUGUUCCAAUGAUUUAAAAGCUGAUGCUGCAAAUUAUUUGUUUUAUUAAGUUAGGAAGACAGGAGUGUAUUUUUAUCCUGGAAAUUCUCCUUUCUGAAGGUUAGCAGGGCAUUUGGAUACCCUAUAGAUCUUAUCUUGUAAAUUCUCCUUUCCGAAGGUUAGCAGGGCAUUUGGAUACCCUAUAGAUCUUAUCCUGCAAAUUUUAAGUGUAUGUCCUAUAGAUCUUUCUGAAGGUAACUUCUGACCUUCCUCGAGCAAAACCAUAUGGAAGUGGCUUUUUCUUCUUCUAAUGAAAACAUAUUGGCAUGUUUGGUUGGAGAGAAUUGAAUUACUUUCCCAACAAUGAUAGGGAAUAUGAAUAUAAUUCCCCAAAAUUAAGGGAAUUCAAAAUCCAUGGAGAUGGUAGAUUUUGGAUCCCCUCUUCAGAAAUAUGAUCCUUAGUAAUGGAUUUCCUUCCCAAUAUCCAAAGACACCGUAGCAAUCAAAAUUGCCGCCGCAGUGGAGGGGACUAAUGGGUAGGUAAAAUAAUAAGAACUGAUGGUAGGCAUCUCUCAAGGAUAAUAGUAAUUGGAAUGUUUUUCUUGAAGAAAACCUAAUGAUAUUUUUAUGGUAGUCUUGUUAAAAGGCAUUUGCAGAAAAGUUACUGCUCUAAUAAAAAGAUAUCUCCUUUCAAUCUUACGUCAGUUUAAAACACUAAAUAACUUUACUGCUUUGUUAGAUAGGCAUUUGUUGAAAAAAUUAGCAUGUUAAGAUUCACUAAACCAAUAAUUUUUUGAAAUGGGAAAAGAUUUAUUAUUUGUUUUAUUUCAUUGAAAACCGUAAUUUUUUACAUUGAGAACAAGAGUUGUUGUUUUUAAUGCUAGAAAAAUCAAUUUCUAUUAAAAUAAGACAGAACAACACAGUUCCCAAUGAAAUAAAAUACUAAUUCUUUAUUAAACCUUAACAUGUAUACGGGUAUAUAAAUUACCAAAAGCCAAUUAGCAUAUCAAGAUUUUAGAUUUUCUUAAAAUACUCGCAAAACAGUGUCAAUUAUUCAUAAGGAUAUCGACACUAACACUAUAUGGUGAUGUUGGAAGCAUUGGCUAAGAGCAAGGGUUAGCCGAAAGAAUUUUAAUGAUAUGUUUCAAGUCAACACAGUCUUUGAAAUGCUAACAAGUGUUUUUCUUUGACAAACAAAAAGACUUUUACCACUGCAGUACAGUGACAUCUUUAUGUUAACUGGGGUAUUUUUCACUCUUAAUUUCUUGAAGACACAUUAUGCGAAGCUCCCGAGAACCCCCGUCUCAACUCUCGAGAGCUUGCUAGUGGUUCAAAAGAAGAUGCACGUCUUCAACCAUACUUCAAUCUUUCAUUUGAUAUUUAGGCAUAAGCAUCGAGGUAUGUUCAAACUGUUCCCACUUGGACUGAAUUUAUUUUUGAAUUUAGAGAUACAACUUUAUUUAUUUUGAAAUACUCGCAAAACAGUGUAAAUUAUUCAUAAGGAUAUCUACAUCAACAUCUAUAUCGUGUUGUUGGAAGCAUUGGCUAAGAGCAAGGGUUAUGGGAAAGGGUUUUAAUGAUAUGUUUCAACUCCAAACACAAUCUUUGAAAUGCUAACAAGUGUUUUUCUUUAACAGGCAAAAAAACUUUUACCACUGCAGUACAGUGACAUCUUUAUGUUAAUUAGGGUAUUUUUAUCUCUUAAUUUCUUGAAGACAAAUUAUACGAAGCUCCCGAAAACCUCCAUCUCAACUCUCAAGAGCUUGCUAGUGGUUCAAAAGAAGAUGCACGUCUUCAACCAUACUUCAAUAUUUCAUUUGAUAUUCAGGAAUAAACAUCGAGGUAUGUUCAAACUGUUCCCACUUGGACUGAUUUUAUUUUUGAAUUUAGAGAUACAACUUUAUUUAUUUUGAAAUACUCGCAAAACAGUGCCAAUAAUUCAUAAGGAUAUCUACACUAACAUCUACAUCGUGUUGUUGGAAGCAUUGGCUAAGAGCAAGGGUUACGGGAAAGAGUUUUGAUGAUAUGUUUCAACUCUAAACACAGUCUUUGAAAUGUUGACAAGUGAUUUUCUUCGACGGGAAAAAAGACUUUUACUACUGCAGUACAGUGACAUCUUUAUGUUAACGAGGGUAUUUUUUCUCUCUUAAUUUCUUGAAGACACAUUAUGUGAAGCUCCCGAAACCUCCGUCUCAACUCUCAAGAGCUUGCUAGUGGUGCAAAAGAAGAUGCACGUCUUCAACCAUACUUCAAUAUUUCAUUUGAUAUCCAGGCAUAGGCAUCGAGGCAAAAAAACUUUUACCACUGCAGUACAGGGUAUUUUUCUCUCUUAAUUUCUUGAAGACACGUUAUGUGAAGCUCCCGAAAACCUCCGUCUCAACUCUGAAGAGCUUGCUCAUGGUUCAAAAGAAGAUGCACGUCUUCAACCAUACUUCAAUGUUUCAUUUGAUAUUCAGGCAUAGGCUUCGAGGUAUGUUCAAACUGUUCCCACUUGGACUGAAUUUAUUUUUGAUUUUUCCAUGUUUUUAAUGUAUGGUCACCUUGCUAAUUAGAAAGCAGCCAAAAACCCUUCCGUUUACCUAGAAUGAUUGUUUAAACUGCACUGCACUGGACAGCAUAUCUUUAGAUAUUGGAAGUUUGAAACAUGAGUCACAUAACCAUAUGAAUGAUGCUGGGAGUGAAAUACUCGUUGGUUAAGAAGCGGCAGCACAAUCCUGUCAAUUCUGAGAGGUUUUUGUAUAAACUUCUAUGGAACCAUGUAUGGUGUUCAAGAGAUGUAUACUAUAUUAUAUACAAAUAUCAAUUACAAUGCUCUUGAACUA